rnacentral:lncRNA from 1 species
GAUCUGCCAAAUCUUCUAUUUUCAAUGGAUUUAUUAUACAUCUACCCCAUCUUCUACAUCUGAAGCACGUAGUGAUGUUCAUGAAAUUCAGCAAAAUAUGGAUUCAUUUUCGCCUACUAAUCGUAUCUCCGAUUAUUCAAUUAUGCAAUCGAUCACUUUAUUUGGCCACAAAAUCGUUCCAGCAGUUCAGAAAUCAACAUUAAGUCUUCAUAGUGAUGACAUUUCAAAGAUUAGUAAGAAACGCAAACAUGAUGAAACUGUGGGU